rnacentral:rRNA from 1 species
AGGGUUCGAUUCUGGCUCAGGAUGAACGCUAGCGGCAGGCUUAACACAUGCAAGUCGAGGGGCAACGCGAGUAGCAAUACUUGGCGGCGACCGGCGCAAGGGUGCGUAACGCGUGAGCAACAUGCCCGUAUCAGGGGGAUAAUCCAGGGAAACUUGGUCUAAUACCCCAUAGUAAUUUUGUAAGGCAUCUUAUAAGAUUUAAAGCUUUGGUGGAUACGGAUUGGCUCGCGUGACAUUAGCUGGAUGGUAAGGUAACGGCUUACCAUGGCUAUGAUGUCUAGGGGUUCUGAGAGGAAGGUCCCCCACACUGGAACUGAGACACGGUCCAGACUCCUACGGGAGGCAGCAGUGAGGAAUAUUGGACAAUGGAUGGAAAUCUGAUCCAGCCAUGCCGCGUGAAGGAAGAAGGUCCUAUGGAUUGUAAACUUCUUUUGUAUGGGAGCAAUAAGGCCUACGAGUAGGUUGAUGAGAGUACCAUACGAAUAAGCACCGGCUAACUCCGUGCCAGCCGCAGC